rnacentral:lncRNA from 1 species
AUGGAGAGCAAAACGCGGGUUGUGCCCACAGAGCAGCAGCGAUGGGACGCGGCAUGGCAGCCGUCGGGAUCCAUCCUCUCUCUGGACAGGCGAGGGGCCAAGAAAGUGCUGGAGAUCUACGUCAGGCGCUCAUUGAGCUGCUGUGAGAACACGCAGGCGGCCAAGGAAAGGCUUCAGGAGAGAGCCAAAGGGCGAGGGAGGAAGGCAGCCGUGCUGCAAAGGUCGGAGAGUGACUUUGGCAAGUAUUCGCAUGCCAAGCACAGCCUGAAGAAGGAGGAGGAGGAGGCGGCCAAGGAGCUGGAGGAGGCUGUGGUUGAGGAGAGCAAAGCGUCGGCUCCUGGGGAGGAUCCUAAAGCGGAGCCGGAGCGCCAGAGGAAAAGCACAAAGAGCUCUCCCCAGGGCAAGGCCCAGCGCACCUGGUUCAAGAGCCUCUUAAAUCUGCUCUUCAGAAGGAGUCCUGAGGAGCAGAAGGAAAACGUGGGGCAAAAAACAAAGGAAAAAGAUGUCAGAACUCCUUACAGCAGCAAAACAGAAGGGGCCAGGAGACCCAGAGCUGACACCAGCACGUCCCCAACACUGGGCAAAGCCCCCAGGAGGAGACCCAGCCUCAAGAAGGUCUUCUCCUUCAAGAAGAACAUGGAGGAGGAGCGUGGUGAGGUGGGGGCCAGGGCCAAGCGCCCCGGCUGCCUGCCCCUGCGGCACGUCCUUGCAUCCAGCCCCACAGAGGCCGAGCAGCCGGAGGGUUACUAUGCACGGGUCUCGGAGGAGGUCGGGCUGAUCGUGCAGGGCAGUGGGGAGCGCAGGGCUGAGCGGCUGCCAGGGCCAACCUGCACCGAUGGGGUCGAUGAAGCCAUCAGAGAAAUUGUGGCCCUGCUGCAGGAAGCUGGAGAUGAGCUGGACAGGCAGGUGAGAGUCUACGGUCGGCGGGAAUGGGGCCGGGGGAACCUUCGCUCUGCCGCAGUGCAACACCUCCGGCUGGAGGCGCUCAGUGAAAUCAAGGAAAUGGUGCCCUCGAAUUCCCCGCCGGGGUGUGAUCCCGUCUGCCUGCCCCGUCCCAUCUGCAGUCCCCGUGAGAUGCGACGGCGUCAACCCGAGGCUGACGCAUUGUUUGCCCUCGAUGAACCCAUUCGUUUGCUUCUCCGACAGGUGAGGGAAGACGUGCGGCUGCGGACGUUCUUCAGAGACAUGUCCUACAGCUCCUUCAAGAACCUGGCCGACGCCUACGUCCGCCGGGAGAUGACGGCCAGCCGACCCAACGUCAACCCCCAGGAGAUCCAGUUUGCCUUCACGGUGCACCUCACCGCCAAAGUGGCCGGCAUCUGCAACCAGGCCGUGAACAGGAUCAUGGGAUUCGGCACCCGCUACUUGGAAGACUCGUUUGCGCCCUUGUCCUACAGCAAGGUCCUCCAGGUAAGGAGGGCUUGGGCAGAGGAUGGGGUCAGGGUGUGA